CCCAUAGCUCAACUGGAUAGAGUACUUGACUACGAAUCAAGCGGUUAGAGGUUCGACUCCUCUUGGGCGCA
rnacentral:tRNA from 2 species